UACGAAGGGGGCUAGCGUUGUUCGGAUUUACUGGGCGUAAAGCGCACGUAGGCGGAUUGUUAAGUUAGAGGUGAAAUCCCAGGGCUCAACCCUGGAACUGCCUUUGAUACUGGCAAUCUCGAGUCCGAGAGAGGUGAGUGGAACUCCUAGUGUAGAGGUGGAAUUCGUAGAUAUUAGGAAGAACACCAGUGGCGAAGGCGGCUCACUGGCUCGGUACUGACGCUGAGGUGCGAAAGCGUGGGGAGCAAACAGG
rnacentral:rRNA from 1 species